AAAAUAUGCAAUAUGUGACAUAUCUUAUAGGAAUACCAUACUCUGCAGCUGUUAGAAAUGUUGACUGAUUAACUGAUUAUAUAUCAUUAAAUAAUAAUCAUGUUUCAUUAUUUACUGUUCAGUAUUUCAACAAUUAUUUAGUAGUACAAUUUCUGAUAGAAUUCUUAAUAAGAUAUAUCUUUUGGGAUGUUAUCUAUAAAUUAUCAAGAUACAUGAGCAAUAUGUAAAGGCAUUGAUAACCUAUUUUAAUAUCAUUUGUAAUUUAUAAUGAAUUAUGACCUAAAUAUAUAUUGAUUAAAUUAUCACUUGAUUUGAUUAGGGAGUAUUCAACACAUGUUGAUUGAAGAAUUGCCAUGUAAAAGCAAUAGGCUAGUUUCCAAGGUGCUCAUGUAGUCAGAAAACAAAAUGAUGUGGUUCUACGUAACUUUCCAAUUGAAAUAAACAUUAUAUCAAAUUAAUAUUUGUAGGUAACACAUUUAAUGAACCUGUCAAUUUUACUAGUGACUCAAACUGCAAAUGCAGUUUUGCAAAGAAAACCACUCCAUUAUAGACAGUAAAUUAAUACAAUGAAAAUUAUCUAUGAUGUAUAGUGUGUGCUUGAUAUACCUGAUUCUAAAGUAGAUGAGAGCUUUCAAUUGUAAGUGAGUAAGUGAGACAAUAAAUCCAAAGCAGUGAUUUUCAAAUUGUGUUUCACAGAUACCUAGAGGGCUUCAGAACCUUGUCUGAGAGGGGAAAGCUGAAUGGGCAGGAGGGAUAUUGAUUAGAAGAUCUAAUUUACAUAUUGGCAUCUCCUAAAUUUCUUUGAAGACCAAGCUGUACUUUAAAAGAAAGGGUCCUGGUGAGACAACCUCUUGCAAAUAGCAUCCUCUUCCCCAGUUGUUAGUCUGCACGUGGAAGUUUCUGAAGCACUUAUUGCUGGUACCACUCAUCUGAUAUUUGUUACAUGCUAUCACACUCCUUUUUACUAGGAUUUGAAGUUCGCAGUUCUUUUUGGCUGUAAUCUGCUCUACUACAUGAAAAGACAACCCACAGGAUGGGAGAUAAUAUUUCCAAAUGAUGUGACUGACAAGCAGUGAAUCUCCAAAAUAUACAAAUGACUCAUACAA